CCUACGGGAGGCAGCAGUGAGGAAUAUUGGUCAAUGGGCGCGAGCCUGAACCAGCCAAGUCGCGUGAGGGAAGACGGCUCUACGGGUUGUAAACCUCUUUUGCCGGGGAGCAACGGGCGCCACGUGUGGCGCCACUGAGAGUACCCGGAGAAAAAGCAUCGGCUAACUCCGUGCCAGAAGCCGCGGUAAUACGGGGGAUGCGAGGGUUAUCCGGAUUUAUUGGGGUUAAAGGGGGCGUAGGCGGAGCGUUAAGUCAGCGGUCAAAUUGAGGGGCUCAACGCCUUCCCGCCAUUGAAACUGGCGCUCUAGAGUGGAAGAGAAGUAUGCGGAAUGCGUGGUGUAGCGGUGAAAUGCAUAGAUAUCACGAAGAACCCCGAUUGCGAAGGCAGCAUGCCGGCUUCCGACUGACGCUGAAGCACGAAAGCGUGGGGAUCGAACAGGAUUAGAUACCCCGGUAGUC
rnacentral:rRNA from 1 species